rnacentral:lncRNA from 11 species
AGUUUUCAGGUAAAGGAAAUUACUUUAUUAUCAUUACCUUUUACUGCUGAAAAGGAGAGAACACCACUUUUAGAUCCUGUGCCAAAAUAAUAUGACAAGUUCCAUGUGUUGUGCAGCUGAGGGUUGGGAAUUGUGUUGCUCUGCCUCAGGCAGUGAAAUUUCUUGAACCAGACCUGGUUUUGGCUAGAUAAUCUGCCAAUAUUUAUUCCCAAAAGAAAAUAUUUGCACAGCUUUACCCUGUUUCUCAUUGGCCAUUUUUAGAGGCUAGGGAAACUUAAUCUCUUAAAAUAGAGAUCACUUUUUGACAUUUUCUCCAGUGCUCUUUUGAUUUCUUAAUAUUCAUUUAGGAGACUGGACUUUCACAAUAAUUAAUCAGGAUGAAUAAGAUUCUUCUCCUUGGAUUUUCAGCUCUGUUCUGCUGGACUGUUGCCCAAGGCAUCAUGUGUAAAGUCUGUCUAGCUGGAAAUGAGAAAGGGUGCUAUUCUCCAGUUGGUGUUUGCAAGAGUGAUGUGGGACGAUGUUAUACGUAUGCAGCCUACUUUGGUGAUGAGCCUUAUUUCCUGACUUAUGAUUGUGUCAAUGAUAACUAUUGGUCCUUUUAUUGCAACAAUACUGAAAAGGAUGGAAAAUAUACACACAUCGAAGUUUGUUGUAGCAAAGAAAAGUGUAAUGGAGAACUCCCACCCCUGCCUCGAAGUUGGAAUUAAUGGAUAGUAGAAAACUGCCAAAGGCUCAUCUCAUGCUAGAGGUAGGGCAAUUUGCCCAUUUCAGUUUUUCCAACAUUAAUUUUUUAAAAUUUGGAAAGUUACUUUCAGAAAGUAAUUCAUUUCUGUAAAUUGUUACGAUGUUGGAAAACAGUCUACUGACACUACACACACAUUACUCAACCAAGAACGUAAUUCUUUGCAUCACUUGCUGCAUUCUUCAUUACUUUUUUCCUUCGAAGAUAUGAUUGAAAAAAGUUUGGCAUAAAACUGGAAAAAUUACUGUCCAAAGGCCUUUGAAGCACUCUCUAGUAUGGCAUUGAAUGUUUGCCAAUUUUCUUUUUGGAAGCCGCCCUGAGUCCAUCCGGUGAGGGAGGGCAGGUUAAAAAUAAAGUUUUGUUAUUAUUUUAUUAUAACUGUGACUCAUUGCUCCAAUAAAAUAACUUCUUCCCCAUUCAGUUGGUUCUGGAAC